rnacentral:tRNA from 1 species
GGGCGCAUAGCUCAGUGGUAGAGCAGGGUCUUUACACGGCCAAGGUCCAAGGUUCAAUCCCUUGUGCGCCCACCA